CAGUCGCCACGGUAAUACGAAGGGUGCAAGCGUUAAUCGGAAUUACUGGGCGUAAAGCGCGCGUAGGCGGUUUGUUAAGUCUGUUGUGAAAUCCCCGGGCUCAACCUGGGAAUGGCAAUGGAUACUGGCAAGCUAGAGUGUGUCAGAGGAUGGUGGAAUUCCCGGUGUAGCGGUGAAAUGCGUAGAGAUCGGGAGGAACAUCAGUGGCGAAGGCGGCCAUCUGGGCCAAUACUGACGCUCAUGCACGAAAGCGUGGGGAGCAAACAGGAUUAGAUACCCCUGUAGUCCCUGUCUCUUAUAC
rnacentral:rRNA from 1 species